rnacentral:rRNA from 1 species
UGGGGAAUUUUGGACAAUGGGGGAAACCCUGAUCCAGCCAUCCCGCGUGUGCGAUGAAGGCCUUCGGGUUGUAAAGCACUUUUGGCAGGAAAGAAACGUCAUGGGUUAAUACCCCGUGAAACUGACGGUACCUGCAGAAUAAGCACCGGCUAACUACGUGCCAGCAGCCGCGGUAAUACGUAGGGUGCAAGCGUUAAUCGGAAUUACUGGGCGUAAAGCGUGCGCAGGCGGUUCGGAAAGAAAGAUGUGAAAUCCCAGAGCUCAACUUUGGAACUGCAUUUUUAACUACCGGGCUAGAGUGUGUCAGAGGGAGGUGGAAUUCCGCGUGUAGCAGUGAAAUGCGUAGAUAUGCGGAGGAACACCGAUGGCGAAGGCAGCCUACUGGGAUAACACUGACGCUGAUGCACGAAAGCGUGGGGAGCAAACAGG